AGAAAAUAUAUGUACUCCUGUUCUGUUAGUAUAAAUAUAGGCUAAAAAGUUAUUUAGUUAUUGGUUAUUGUCGUGUUGAACGCGUUAUGUGUGUGUGUCAGUUUGAAUCGCAAAUUGAGAGUUGAGAAUCAUGUUGGGUAAUUGUAACUUACAUCAUUGUAAAACGACGUGCACUAAACAAGUGUAAAUAUCUGUACUUCAGUAAUAAAUAUAUUAAAAAAAUACAGCCCCAAGUGUGAAGUGUCUUGAAUCGUGAGCCAGCAACCAGCGUGACUUAAAUCGCACUAAGUUACGCGACACGAUUCGUUUUAGUUCAAACUUAUUUUGAUUAUUGUUGUGAGGUGUGGAUGUGAUUGGCAGUAUCUUCGCAAAAUACACGGAAUCGUCAAAACAGAGCAGCAAGAAUAAUUUCAUUUGUAAUACACUAGUUAUGUGAUUUUUAAUUUAUAUCGUUAGGCUUAGCUUUGAACUGUUUUAACUUGACGCUUGGAAAUCAAUUUGCACUGAAGAGGUUAGGAUGUUUAAUUAAAUAAAGUUUACCUUCCCUCACCUUGAUUACCCUUUUUAUUUUAUCUGCUUUCUAGAACUGAUAGGCCGACCGGUCAAAAUUCAACGACGUUCGAAUUGAAAGCCUAGCAAGAAUCGAGGUAUUAUUGUUGGACGAAAGAAGGAUUUUGAAGUGUAUAAUUGGAUCCAAAUCGCGAUUCUAACUCGUUUAACGCUUACGAACACACAAAGCCAAAGGAAAAUUUCUCUUAACCUUUAACUGGAAACAUAGAUUUGCUGGUUGAAGAAUACUUUUGCACUAAUUAAAGAAUAUAUCGAAACUAAUUAACAUGACGCGCGUUGGGACGGUAGUAACAAUGUUAUUGGUGAUGUAUUUGGCGUCGUUUCCUCAAGACUUUAUUCGAGUAAGCGAAGCAAUGGCAGGAGGCAUUCGAAGAUGUGCAGCUUCUAGUAGCUGUCGCCAGCCAGAGAGACAAGCUAGGAGGAAGGAAAAACGUUCGUAUCGUUUGAAAAAUCUUACCGGUAAAAGAUCGUACGUGUACGAAGCGUGAUAGCCGCAUGCGUACACGAACAAUGUGCAAACAUGUAUCUACAAUCUUGGCCAAAACCCGGACGUUUUUCUCCUAAUAUGUCACUCCCGCACUCCUUUCAAUGUUGUUUUAUGUACCUAUAAUAGCUAAAAAUCUGGCACAACAAUACUGUGACCGAAACAACAUUAGGGAGCUUUAGAUUUGACUACGAGUACGACUACGAGUACGAGAUUUGAUCGCGUGCGAGGAAAUUACCGUAGUCGUUUUCGUUUCCAUUCAAAUGUUGCUUUUAUAACAGUAAAUCAACAACUAGAGAAAAAGUUUCAUAAACUAAAUCUCCUGCCGACUAAAAUCCCCUACAAAACGUGUAAAUAAAUCAUAACAUUAAAAAUAGGCCAGAUAUUUUGUACUAAUAUAUUAUUUGCGCCGGAUAAACGCUAUAUAAAUGCUACAAAUUAUUUUUGGAAACAAAAAAAAGUCAACUUUCUUUGUUGUUUUUUGAAAAGUCGUCGUGAGGACUACGAGGUUUCUCCACAAUUUCGUACUCAGAUGGGCGACGGCUACGACUUUUUAGCGUCAGUACGGGAUGGCGUAAGCAUACAGCAUGCGUUUAGCUUGACGAAUCUCGUAGUCGUAGUCGUACUCGUAGUCAAAUCUAAAGCUCCCUAUUGAAUGGAGGGUGCGGAGGGAGUUGCCAUACUACUUUUCAAAUGCAACAAAAAUAAAGUUAAGCCGGAAAACUGGUGCAAACGUUCGGUCGGUCUACAAACUUUUGGCCAUGAUUGUAGGUGCUUGGUAGCCUGCGUAGCUGGAGGCUUUAAUUAAAGGAUUAGUUUCACACCAUGGUACUUUGUUGUUUUUAUCUCAUUCAAAAUCAACAAAUAAUGAUAAAAAUACCUCGCUCGGUACAUUUCCAAUAAGAAUCAGAUAAAAGAAGCAAGGGUUCUCAAAGAAUGGUUCAGAAAUACUGAUACGACAUAUUACACUAAAAACUUUUCCAGGUCUGUUGAUCUACUCGGUCCAUAAAUUGACCGCCAGCAGGUAUUUGAGCCCGCAAUACUAUGGUGUGAGACUAAUCCUUUAAGGGAUUUGGGCCUCAACCCCAUCCCUUAAAAUCGCCAGCUACGCAGACUAGGUACCAGGCCACGCAGGCUCUUUUAUAGAUAAGUGAAUGUAAGGAUUUUGGACAUGUUACUCGAUAGAACUAAAUGUUGAACAGAUUUUUUAUAGAGUGAAAUUUCAAGUGUAAAGUGUAUACAAUUUUAGUUAGACCUAGUCAGGAGCAACUGCGAAAAAUGCAACAUAGGCCCUCUGGCAUGCUAUUUUGCUUAUUUUCUCUGUAUGUUAGUCUUAAAUUUAUUACAUUAAUUCUGUAAGUAUAUUAGUAGUUAACCCAAUAAAGUUCU
rnacentral:lncRNA from 1 species